rnacentral:lncRNA from 1 species
CUGUUCCUUGGUUGUUUCCGAUUGGUUGCCCGGACUUCUCGCGGCUAAACUAAUUUUGGCUCCAAGGCGGCGUGAAGAGUGUGAUUCUGUUCAGCGACCGUGAUUCUGUUCAGCGACCAUGAUGUUGAGCCCCUAAUUGAGAGUCUGUUACCACUAUUAAUAGCUACUCUGUUCGGGCCCUACACAUAACGGUGUAUCUAAACCUCUCUACAAUUUUAUGGCUAAAAUUGAAAGAAUAAAAACAAUGUGGCAUCCCAUGAAUUAACGGGAAGAU